rnacentral:rRNA from 1 species
GAUGAACGCUGGCGGCGUGCCUAAUACAUGCAAGUCGAGCGAACGGACGAGAAGCUUGCUUCUCUGAUGUUAGCGGCGGACGGGUGAGUAACACGUAGGUAACCUACCUAUAAGACUGGGAUAACUUCGGGAAACCGGAGCUAAUACCGGAUAAUAUUUUGAACCGCAUGGUUCAAUAGUGAAAGACGGUCUUGCUGUCACUUAUAGAUGGAUCCGCGCUGCAUUAGCUAGUUGGUAAGGUAACGGCUUACCAAGGCAACGAUGCAUAGCCGACCUGAGAGGGUGAUCGGCCACACUGGAACUGAGACACGGUCCAGACUCCUACGGGAGGCAGCAGUAGGGAAUCUUCCGCAAAGGGCGAAAGCCUGACGGAGCAACGCCGCGUGAGUGAUGAAGGUCUUCGGAUCGUAAAACUCUGUUAUUAGGGAAGAACAUAUGUGUAAGUAACUGUGCACAUCUUGACGGUACCUAAUCAGAAAGCCACGGCUAACUACGUG